ACAAAUGCUAGCCCACAUUUUCCCCAACACAACUACCACCCCUAAAUAAACCAAAACAUUUACCUUAUAAAAGUAUAGGAGAUAGAAAUUCUAAUUGGCGCUAUAGAGAAAGUACCGCAAGGGAAAGAUGAAAGACUCAUUAAAAGUGAAAAACAGCAAAGCUUACCCCUUGUACCUUUUGCAUAAUGAUUUAACUAGAACAACUUGACAAAGAGAACUUAAGCCAACUAACCCGAAACCAGACGAGCUACCCAAAAGCAGCAGCUAAAGAGCGAACUCGUCUAUGUAGCAAAAUAGUGAGAAGACUUUUAGGUAGAGGUGAAAAGCCUACCGAGCCUGGUGAUAGCUGGUUGUCCAGAAUAGAAUUUUAGUUCAACUUUAAGCCUGCCUAAAAGACCCAAAACUAAAAUGCAGACUUAAAAUAUAAUCUAAAAGGGUACAGCCUUUUAGAAACAGGAUACAACCUUUACCAGAGAGUAAGCCCCUAAAACCCCAUAGUUGGCCUAAAAGCAGCCACCAAUUAAGAAAGCGUUCAAGCUCAACGACCCCCCCCCCCCCAUAAUCCAAACAAUUAUCUGCGAACUCCUGGCCUAAUACUGGACCAUUCUACUAUUAAGUAGAAGAAAUACUGUUAAUAUGAGUAACAAGAACCAAUUUCUCCUUGCACAAGCUUAUAUCAGAACGGAUCCCCCACUGAUAAUUAACAGUAAGAUAAAUACACACCCCCCAACUAAAACAUUUAUCAAUACGACUGUUGACCCAACACAGGAGUGCACUCAAAGGAAAGAUUAAAAGAAGUAAAAGGAACUCGGCAAACACAAACCCCGCCUGUUUACCAAAAACAUCACCUCCAGCAUUAUAAUUAUUGGAGGCACUGCCUGCCCAGUGACACCCGUUAAACGGCCGCGGUAUCCUGACCGUGCAAAGGUAGCAUAAUCAUUUGUUCUUUAAAUAGGGACUUGUAUGAAUGGCCACACGAGGGUUUUACUGUCUCUUACUUCCAAUCAGUGAAAUUGACCUUCCCGUGAAGAGGCGGGAAUUCACAAAUAAGACGAGAAGACCCUAUGGAGCUUUAAUUAACUAGCCCACAAAAUAAGCACUACACUUCUAAGGAAGAUAAACUAACUUUUUACUGGACUAGCAAUUUGGGUUGGGGUGACCUCGGAAUAUAAAACAACUCCCGAGUGACAUAGUCUAGACUAACAAGUCGAAACCCUCUAUCAUUCAGUGAUCCAAAUUCUUGAUCAACGGAACAAGUUACCCUAGGGAUAACAGCGCAAUCCUAUUUGAGAGUCCAUAUCGACAAUAGGGUUUACGACCUCGAUGUUGGAUCAGGACACCCCAAUGGUGCAGCCGCUAUUAACGGUUCGUUUGUUCAACGAUUAAAGUCCUACGUGAUCUGAGUUCAGACCGGAGUAAUCCAGGUCGGUUUCUAUCUAUUACAUGGUUUCUCCCAGUACGAAAGGACAAGAGAAACAAGGCCAACUUAACACAAGCGCCUUUAAACCAAUAGAUGAUAUAAUCUUAAUCUAGUAAUUAACAACACAUACACCAACGCCCAAGAACAGGGCUAAU
rnacentral:rRNA from 1 species